rnacentral:rRNA from 2 species
CAUGCAAGUCGAACGGGGCAGAGAGCUUCGGUUUUCUGCUUAGUGGCGAACGGGUGAGUAACGCGUGAGGAACCUGCCUUUCAGUGGGGGACAACAGUUGGAAACGACUGCUAAUACCGCAUAACGUCAUUUGUCGGCAUCGAUAAAUGACCAAAGCUUUAUGUGCUGAAAGAUGGCCUCGCGUCUGAUUAGAUAGUUGGUGGGGUAACGGCCUACCAAGUCGACGAUCAGUAGCCGGUCUGAGAGGAUGAACGGCCACAUUGGGACUGAGAUACGGCCCAGACUCCUACGGGAGGCAGCAGUGGGGAAUAUUGGGCAAUGGGGGAAACCCUGACCCAGCAACGCCGCGUGAAGGAAGAAGGCCUUCGGGUUGUAAACUUCUUUUACCAGGGACGAAGGACGUGACGGUACCUGGAGAAAAAGCAACGGCUAACUACGUGCCAGCAGCCGCGGUAAUACGUAGGUUGCAAGCGUUGUCCGGAUUUACUGGGUGUAAAGGGCGUGUAGGCGGAGGAGCAAGUCAGAUGUGAAAUCCAUGGGCUUAACCCAUGAACUGCAUUUGAAACUGUUUCCCUUGAGUAUCGGAGAGGCAAGCGGAAUUCCUAGUGUAGCGGUGAAAUGCGUAGAUAUUAGGAGGAACACCAGUGGCGAAGGCGGCUUGCUGGACGACAACUGACGCUGAGGCGCGAAAGCGUGGGGAGCAAACAGGAUUAGAUACCCUGGUAGUCCACGCUGUAAACGAUGAAUACUAGGUGUGGGAGGACUGACCCCUUCCGUGCCGCAGUUAACACAAUAAGUAUUCCACCUGG